GGGGAGGUAGCAUAAAAAGUGUAUUCUAUUUACGCUAGAAAGGUGAUGUUAAAUCCCUCUCUU
rnacentral:tRNA from 1 species